rnacentral:rRNA from 1 species
UACGUAGGGGGCAAGCGUUGUCCGGAUUUAUUGGGCGUAAAGAGCGUGUAGGCGGCCAGAUAGGUCCGUUGUGAAAACUCGAGGCUCAACCUCGAGACGCCGAUGGAAACCAUUUGGCUAGAGUCCGGAAGAGGAGAGUGGAAUUCCUGGUGUAGCGGUGAAAUGCGCAGAUAUCAGGAAGAACACCCGUGGCUAAGGCGGCUCUCUAGUACGGUACUGACGCUGAGACGGGAAAGCGUGGGGAGCGAACAGG